GGGCAGAUGGUGGAAUCGGUAGACACGCAAGCUUGAGGGGCUUGUGAGGUAAUACUCGUGGAGGUUCAAGUCCUCUUCUGCCCACCU
rnacentral:tRNA from 1 species